rnacentral:misc_RNA from 1 species
GAUGAAGAACGCAGCGAAAUGCGAUAAGUAGUGUGAAUUGCAGAAUUCAGUGAAUCAUCGAAUCUUUGAACGCACAUUGCGCCCCAUGGUAUUCCGUGGGGCAUGCCUGUUCGAGCGUCAUUUACCCCCUCAAGCUCCGCUUGGUGUUGGGCGUCUGUCCCGCUUCGCGCGCGGACUCGCCCCAAAGGUAUUGGCAGCGGUCGUGCCAGCUUCUCGCGCAGCACAUUGCGCUUCUCGAGGCACCGGUGGGCCCGCGUCCAUCAAGCUAACCCCCCCAGUUUGACCUCGGAUCAGGUAGGGAUACCCGCUGAACUUAAGCAUAUCAAUAAGCGGAGGA